GGGCUCCUACGGGACGCAGCAGUGAGGAAUAUUGGUCAAUGGUCGGGAGACUGAACCAGCCAAGCCGCGUGAGGGAGGAAGGUACAGAGUAUCGUAAACCUCUUUUGUCAGGGAACAAAGGCGGGGACGUGUUCCCGGAUGAGUGUACCUGAAGAAAAAGCAUCGGCUAACUCCGUGCCAGCAGCCGCGGUAAUACGGAGGAUGCGAGCGUUAUCCGGAUUUAUUGGGUUUAAAGGGUGCG
rnacentral:rRNA from 1 species